GUGUUGUGUGCAGUAUGUAAAGAAUUGCUGUUUUUAUAACAUUUGUAUUGAACCUUUAUUUAACCAGGAAGACCCAUUGAGGCCAGAAAAGGGAGACCUGGCCAAGAAGGCCAGCAGUACAUACAAAAGAACACAUAGAAUUCCACAGCACAGCAAAAACAUGACUCCCUCCAACCCAGUCUCUCAUUUCGUAUGUACUAUAUGUACAAAUAAGCACAAUGUUGUUAUGUACUAAUAGCACAAACUUAUGGCGCAUUGAACUCAAUAACACCAGACAUCUCUGAUGCCACACCCCUUCUGAAUCCCUUUAAACUCUGUUGUGGUAUUAGUACAAAUAAACAUAACUGCUUAUUUGGUUGAAAGUAGCUAGCUAUUUUACAGUGAGCACAUUGAAAUACUUUUUAGCGAAUUAUUGAGGUAAUUAUUUCAUGAUUUUAAAGUGUCUGCCAGUGAGUGACGGACUGUGAAACUCAAUCUCCUAUGAUUCCUUAGUAUCGGAACUGACCGUUUUAUCAUUUGUACCAGAACUGACCGUUGUGGUCAUUCUUAUUAUACCUGUGGUUGUGUUGAAUACCACACCCAACUUAAAAUAAACAAUUAUUCUGCACAGAAUACAUGACAUAUAACAGAAUAAACUAUUUUGCCUUUUAAUUAGAUCUUUGAUGGCGUAGCUAGUUUAUUUAUGGCCUGUGUGUGUCCCAUAGAAAUAUGAUUACAUCGCACAUUUUAAACUGUAAACUGUCAUUGUCUUUUUGGUGUCUGUAUACCAAUUGUGUAAAUAUGAAUACACAUCUAGUUCAUACAUAAUAAUACCAGCUUUGUUCACACCUGAGAUGUUAGUGAAUUAAAGCAGAUAAAUAACAAAAACAUUGUAGAGUUAACUGUGGAGGCUUUGCCUUUUGCUUUUGCACAAUAUAACGCAGUUCCCACGAUAAUGAAAAUCAACCAUCCACAAUGUAUACCAAUUUACUUCUAUCAUGUGUGAAUCUACUAUAUAUAUAUUUGAUUGUGUCUCACAGUAUAUGAUCACACAUUUUGGUACUUUUUUUUCUAAGUUAACAUACAAUAAUGUUUAUGUUCAACCAAAUAGAGAAAUGAGCUUGAUCAAAGAGCAGGAUGCGGCACGGGUGGCAUUUGAGGAGGCUCUUCGAGAAAGCUAUCGCACAGCAUUACAAUUUCAAUAUUUAAGUGAUAUUUCUUCACAUUUCCCCAGUAUAUUUUUAGGGAAGUUGAAUUGUGGGUACAUACCACAAUGUUGUUGUGUUAUAAUUUUAAUCACAGAGAGAUUCCCAUUCUAUGUUUGAUUUGAAUAAAUACUUUAGGAUCAGAAGGAGCGAGCUGCAAAGCGACAGUCACCUGCUCCUGCCACUAGCCUUACCCCUGUCCAAUGAAUAGAGAGGGACAGCAGAGGCAACAUCAUUCACAAUAGAACUGGACAAAAAAGGUCUAAGAAGACCUCAAGACAUGCGGAGGACAUGGACCUUACCGGAACAGGUGACCAUAUUGCAGCUAAUGGCGGGGGUUUGUCUUUUGCCGAUGGCUGUGCCACAGCUGUGUGGAUGUGCCCCCAGCGCCCUGACAGUGACAAGUGGCAAGCAGGUCAUCCUGAUUGGAAUAAAUGGUGUCUGAGACAUUGGACAGUGGGGCUGGACAAACUUGCAAAGAGUGGCUACUGGCCAGCCACCGUGACUCACCAGACCAUCUUCACAGUGGGCCUCUUCAAAUCCUUUGAAGACAUGAAGGUGUUGGCCCCAGGAUGCUCCCGUCAAGCCUUUGUGGGAAUGCUUAACGGAAGAACACAUCACAUUGCCAGGAGUGGAAAGAUAUGUGGCGAUACAUUCCAGAAGGCAUUCCUCGAUUGGACGUACGGGUGGUUUAAAAUAGACAAGCUUUGUGGAAGCGAUCUCCUCCAUUGUCCUGCCUGCUCACAUGAGAUGCAUGCUAUAUCAGUGGAUGGGAAUCGCAAGCAAUACCACUUCAGGAAAGCCUCAGGGUUUGUACUACCUUCUAAUGUGUUGAUGUUUUGUUCAGGGUAUAAUUAUAACUUCGUAAAGCACAUGCUGGUCUUAUUUUUGUUAUGAAGUAUAUGUGUGUGAUGUUAUAUUGCAGUUGGUCUUCUUUUUAGAAGAAGAUUAAUUGUCAACUAGAAGGUCAUUUUCCAUGAAGGAAAAUUGUGGGACAGUGAUUUGUCUUUGUGCUUUAUCCAAAUCCCUCUGAGACACACACAGAGAGGUUGGAGCCACACGGUCUGAUGUCUGGGAUUUGAACCAGCAACCCACCUCUCUAGGAUACUUGCCAUACCUUGGUGGUUUGGUUUUAUGUAUAAUAUUUUGAUGUAAUCUUGCAGUCUGACUCUCCAUUUAGUGUUGAGUAGGGCUUCUAUGAUGGUGUCUUCCUGGCGAAAGACGAUGAUGGGUCAUCCUUCGUCAAACAUGUCCAUACAAAGACCAAUCAUACGCCAGACAAAGGAGUGUGUGGCACGUCAGAGUGGACAGUGGCCAAAGAGACGUCAGAAAAAUCAUCUGCCAAAGUAGAUGAGGACCUUGAGAUUACCGACACGGCGUGCUCCUCAAGGCCCUCAAGAUGUACAGAGGCCAGAUACAGUGGCUUGCGAAAGUAUUCACUCCCAUUGGCAUUUUUCCUAUU